GAUGAACGCUGGCGGCGUGCCUAAUACAUGCAAGUCGAGCGAACAGACGAGGAGCUUGCUCCUCUGACGUUAGCGGCGGACGGGUGAGUAACACGUGGAUAACCUACCUAUAAGACUGGGAUAACUUCGGGAAACCGGAGCUAAUACCGGAUAAUAUAUUGAACCGCAUGGUUCAAUAGUGAAAGACGGUUUUGCUGUCACUUAUAGAUGGAUCCGCACCGCAUUAGCUAGUUGGUAAGGUAACGGCUUACCAAGGCAACGAUGCGUAGCCGACCUGAGAGGGUGAUCGGCCACACUGGAACUGAGACACGGUCCAGACUCCUACGGGAGGCAGCAGUAGGGAAUCUUCCGCAAUGGGCGAAAGCCUGACGGUGCAACGCCGCGUGAGUGAUGAAGGUCUUCGGAUCGUAAAACUCUGUUAUUAGGGAAGAACAAAUGUGUAAGUAACUAUGCACGUCUUGACGGUACCUAAUCAGAAAGCCACGGCUAACUACGUG
rnacentral:rRNA from 1 species